GUUUCUGACUUCUUCCUUUUUCUGUCUCAGUUUUACAGAAAAGCAGACAUGAAACACUGACAGCAUUUGGAAAUAAACUUUGGCAGUAAGAUGGAAGCAUAAAUCUCAAGACUUUAAACCAAAACAGAAAUGGCUUGUGAUUGUUGAAACAAGACACCUAAGAGCCUCCAACACUUCUGUGUGAGCAGUAGAAAAGGAACAACUACAAUGGUAACACUAAUAACAGAAAAGCUGCAGAACCAGAGCUUGGAUGAUCUGACGUGUAAAACGUACAAUAUUAAUCUGUACUCAUCUGAGAAGUUGAACAAAAGUGGCAGCUUGUUCUCUUUCGAAAUCAACGGUAAGUUCUUCAGAAGCCUUAGCUGUGUUUUUUACUGAGGUAAUUGGUAUAGCAAGCAGCCUUUCUUUUGUAAAUAAGGUGAGGGGGAUGGAGCAUGCAGUUGCAGAGCCUGCUGGUUUAAGCUGGUCUAUGAACAAUACUGGGAAUAGCUGGUUGUUAGUUUUGUACGUGUGAUCUGCUUUGCAUAGUAAAAGCCCUGGUAACACUUCUUAUGUUAUCUGCUACGGUGUACAGAAGCUCAGCAAUGCUGGUUUUCAUACUGCCCAUCUCCUCUGCUACAGGAAAUCUCUAACCUCUUUACACACCUUCUUGCAGGCUUUGCCACACAGAAUAUACAGUGCGAUGCAAACCAUAAGUCAUGUCCAGAGCUUUGAGUGCAUUAGCUUCCCCCUCCCUAAUCAAUAUUCCCUUAAUCCUGUUAAGAGUAAACUUUAUCACCAAAACUCAAAAGCACGCUAACUGAUACAGAAGUGUCAUGCUGCUUUAUUAAGGGAUGGAUUUGUGUGUUCUGUUGUUUUAAAGCAUGGGCAGUUCUUGCUCAGUGCGACUCCCUUUAAAGCAUGGUGCAUGGUUUGUAUGAGGUUCCAAAGGGAAAGAAUACUUUAUCUCAGUAUUUUUUGAUAGCAUGUGAAAAGCACAUGUGCAACUUCUGACUUUUUUUUUUUUCCUACAGUGAACUUUAAACCAUCUUCCAUCCUAGGAGUAGGCUUCCUAAGGAUUUUUUUUUUUUAAAUCAAGCCAGACGAAGCUGAAAAUUUGUCCUACAAUAGAUGCAAGGAGUUUCGAACAGUAUCUGGAUCCCAUUGUGCUGGCUAUUUUACUUGCAUUGAAUUAUGGAUGGUCUCUGCCUUGAAGAGCUUACGUGCUUAAGGCAAAGCACAGUAUGUGGUUGUACCCAUUUGAAAGAAUGGAGGAGGAAGGACAGAGGAAUUCUAAUAAAACAUGUUGUCUGAAUAGGCCAGCUGUCUGCACAGUUAAAUGAUUUUGAGACAAUAGGGUGUUCUUUAAAUAAGAUCCAAAUAAGCAGGAUAAUCCAUGACAUAGUUUGGGCAUGGAACAUGUACAAGUAUUUGGAUUUGUAAUUUUUAAAGCUACUCUGCAAAACUUUUAUCUGUUGAUUU